GACGAACGCUGGCGGCGUGCUUAACACAUGCAAGUCGAACGGAAAGGCCCUGCUUUUGUGGGGUGCUCGAGUGGCGAACGGGUGGGUAACACGUGAGUAACCUGCCCUUGACUUUGGGAUAACUUCAGGAAACUGGGGCUAAUACCGGAUAGGAGCUCCUGCUGCAUGGUGGGGGUUGGAAAGUUUCGGCGGUUGGGGAUGGACUCGCGGCUUAUCAGCUUGUUGGUGGGGUAGUGGCUUACCAAGGCUUUGACGGGUAGCCGGCCUGAGAGGGUGACCGGCCACAUUGGGACUGAGAUACGGCCCAGACUCCUACGGGAGGCAGCAGUGGGGAAUAUUGCACAAUGGGCGGAAGCCUGAUGCAGCAACGCCGCGUGCGGGAUGACGGCCUUCGGGUUGUAAACCGCUUUCGCCUGCGACGAAGCGUGAGUGACGGUAAUGGGUAAAGAAGCACCGGCUAACUACGUG
rnacentral:rRNA from 1 species